rnacentral:rRNA from 1 species
UACAGAGGGGGCAAGCGUUAUUCGGAAUUAUUGGGCGUAAAGGGCGCGUAGGCGGCUUUGCAAGUGACGGGUGAAAUCCCUCGGCUUAACCGAGGAACUGCCUGUCAAACUGCAUGGCUUGAGACCGGGAGAGGUGAGUGGAAUUCCCAGUGUAGCGGUGAAAUGCGUAGAUAUUGGGAGGAACACCAGUGGCGAAGGCGGCUCACUGGACCGGUACUGACGCUGAUGCGCGAAAGCGUGGGGAGCAAA